CUUGCUGGAGAUCCCUGCAUGCUUAAGACUUUCUGGAGGUAACACUGCUAAAAUGGCAGUUGAGCUGACAAUCCUCUGAUGUGGGGCAUAUCCAGUAGCAGAGCUGUAAUCCUCAAGGGUCAGCUGCUCACCUCUGAAGUGCAUUUCCCAGCACACAGUACUGCUGGAAGAUGAGGUUGUCCAUUCCUCAGAGAAGUGAACUGUAAGGAAAGAUUGUGAACGGGAGCUUUGCCUUGUAUCUCCGGUUUUCCCAUCGCCUGCUUGAUCUGACAUGACUUCUGUGUGCAAGUGCCAGGCCUCCAGCUGAAGAGGUCACCAAGCUCUCCCUUUGGAAGAUUGAUUCAGAGACUGCCACAUUUCACUGUCAAAAAUAACUCUUGCUGUUUAGCCUGUGUUAUCACUGUCAGGAACACUUCAGUCUGUAUUUGCCCUUUCUUAAGUUUCUUGCAAGCCUUGAAUACUCUUGAAGAAGUUCUUACGAAAAAGGUUCUGUAAGUCUUCAUCCUUGCUGGUGUUUUUUUUGUUUAAGUCUCACUUCCCCUCCCCUUCACAAGGCACUAUUUAUAGCUAGCAGCGCCAGUCAUAUUUUGCAGAAGUGGAAAUUUGAACAAGUGAGAGCCAAAGUGCAAGUUGAUAUAAGGAAGAUGCCUCAAAUAUACCUGGGACGCUCAGCACUCCUGUCUUCAUGUGAGCAAACGAUUGUUGCUCUGGCUGUUUGCAUUUGCCUAACCUUCUGUCAUCAAAUAAAAUCACAAACAAGAUAAAAUUUCUGUUGGAGUCAAAUAUGAGUGGAAUCCCAAGAAAGACUCUAAAGGUCAGAUCAGCAGUUAUAUGAUAUAUUGCUCCCCAGUAUCUACAAAACCUUGGUGACAUUAAACAGUACAAAGUGGAGUUUGCUAGAAGGUACUUGAGUGUUGUAUAUUUAAAGAACAAGCUGUUACCUGGAAAUAAUAAAUAAUGGUGAAAGGCUUCC
rnacentral:lncRNA from 1 species